rnacentral:rRNA from 1 species
CCCUUAGAUGUUCUGGGCUGCACGCGCGCUACACUGAUGCGUUCAACGAGUGUACACCUUACUCGAGAGGGUUGGGUAAUCUUUUGAAAACGCAUCGUGAUGGGGAUAGAUUAUUGUAAUUAUUAAUCUUCAACGAGGAAUUCCUAGUAAGGGCCAAUCAUCAGUUGGUCCUGAUUACGUCCCUGCCCUUUGUACACACCGCCCGUCGCACCUACCGAUUGGAUGGUCCGGUGAAGCCUCGGGAUUGUGGCGGUUGCCUUUAUUGGUGGCCGCCGCGAGAACUUGUCUAAACCUUAUCAUCUAGAGGAAGGUGAAGUCGUAACA